rnacentral:rRNA from 1 species
UACAGAGGUCUCAAGCGUUGUUCGGAUUCAUUGGGCGUAAAGGGUGCGUAGGUGGCGGGGUAAGUCGGAUGUGAAAGCCCCGGGCUCAACCUGGGAAGUGCACUCGAAACUGCUUCGCUUGAGUACUGGAGAGGGUAGUGGAAUUCUCGGUGUAGAGGUGAAAUUCGUAGAUAUCGAGAGGAACAUCGGUGGCGAAGGCGGCUACCUGGACAGUUACUGACGCUGAGACGCGAAAGCGUGGGUAGCAAACAGG